rnacentral:rRNA from 1 species
GGGUUGUGAGGUUAAGCGACUAAGCGUACACGGUGGAUGCCCUGGCAGUCAGAGGCGAUGAAGGACGUGCUAAUCUGCGAUAAGCGUCGGUAAGGUGAUAUGAACCGUUAUAACCGGCGAUUUCCGAAUGGGGAAACCCAGUGUGUUUCGACACACUAUCAUUAACUGAAUCCAUAGGUUAAUGAGGCGAACCGGGGGAACUGAAACAUCUAAGUACCCCGAGGAAAAGAAAUCAACCGAGAUUCCCCCAGUAGCGGCGAGCGAACGGGGAGCAGCCCAGAGCCUGAAUCAGUGUGUGUGUUAGUGGAAGCGUCUGGAAAGGCGCGCGAUACAGGGUGACAGCCCCGUACACAAAAAUACACAUACUGUGAGCUCGAUGAGUAGGGCGGGACACGUGGUAUCCUGUCUGAAUAUGGGGGGACCAUCCUCCAAGGCUAAAUACUCCUGACUGACCGAUAGUGAACCAGUACCGUGAGGGAAAGGCGAAAAGAACCCCGGCGAGGGGAGUGAAAAAGAACCUGAAACCGUGUACGUACAAGCAGUGGGAGCACGCUUAGGCGUGUGACUGCGUACCUUUUGUAUAAUGGGUCAGCGACUUAUAUUCUGUAGCAAGGUUAACCGAAUAGGGGAGCCGAAGGGAAACCGAGUCUUAACUGGGCGUUAAGUUGCAGGGUAUAGACCCGAAACCCGGUGAUCUAGCCAUGGGCAGGUUGAAGGUUGGGUAACACUAACUGGAGGACCGAACCGACUAAUGUUGAAAAAUUAGCGGAUGACUUGUGGCUGGGGGUGAAAGGCCAAUCAAACCGGGAGAUAGCUGGUUCUCCCCGAAAGCUAUUUAGGUAGCGCCUCGUGAAUUCAUCUCCGGGGGUAGAGCACUGUUUCGGCAAGGGGGUCAUCCCGACUUACCAACCCGAUGCAAACUGCGAAUACCGGAGAAUGUUAUCACGGGAGACACACGGCGGGUGCUAACGUCCGUCGUGAAGAGGGAAACAACCCAGACCGCCAGCUAAGGUCCCAAAGUCAUGGUUAAGUGGGAAACGAUGUGGGAAGGCCCAGACAGCCAGGAUGUUGGCUUAGAAGCAGCCAUCAUUUAAAGAAAGCGUAAUAGCUCACUGGUCGAGUCGGCCUGCGCGGAAGAUGUAACGGGGCUAAACCAUGCACCGAAGCUGCGGCAGCGACGCUUAUGCGUUGUUGGGUAGGGGAGCGUUCUGUAAGCCUGCGAAGGUGUGCUGUGAGGCAUGCUGGAGGUAUCAGAAGUGCGAAUGCUGACAUAAGUAACGAUAAAGCGGGUGAAAAGCCCGCUCGCCGGAAGACCAAGGGUUCCUGUCCAACGUUAAUCGGGGCAGGGUGAGUCGACCCCUAAGGCGAGGCCGAAAGGCGUAGUCGAUGGGAAACAGGUUAAUAUUCCUGUACUUGGUGUUACUGCGAAGGGGGGACGGAGAAGGCUAUGUUGGCCGGGCGACGGUUGUCCCGGUUUAAGCGUGUAGGCUGGUUUUCCAGGCAAAUCCGGAAAAUCAAGGCUGAGGCGUGAUGACGAGGCACUACGGUGCUGAAGCAACAAAUGCCCUGCUUCCAGGAAAAGCCUCUAAGCAUCAGGUAACAUCAAAUCGUACCCCAAACCGACACAGGUGGUCAGGUAGAGAAUACCAAGGCGCUUGAGAGAACUCGGGUGAAGGAACUAGGCAAAAUGGUGCCGUAACUUCGGGAGAAGGCACGCUGAUAUGUAGGUGAAGUCCCUCGCGGAUGGAGCUGAAAUCAGUCGAAGAUACCAGCUGGCUGCAACUGUUUAUUAAAAACACAGCACUGUGCAAACACGAAAGUGGACGUAUACGGUGUGACGCCUGCCCGGUGCCGGAAGGUUAAUUGAUGGGGUCAGCGCAAGCGAAGCUCUUGAUCGAAGCCCCGGUAAACGGCGGCCGUAACUAUAACGGUCCUAAGGUAGCGAAAUUCCUUGUCGGGUAAGUUCCGACCUGCACGAAUGGCGUAAUGAUGGCCAGGCUGUCUCCACCCGAGACUCAGUGAAAUUGAACUCGCUGUGAAGAUGCAGUGUACCCGCGGCAAGACGGAAAGACCCCGUGAACCUUUACUAUAGCUUGACACUGAACAUUGAGCCUUGAUGUGUAGGAUAGGUGGGAGGCUUUGAAGUGUGGACGCCAGUCUGCAUGGAGCCGACCUUGAAAUACCACCCUUUAAUGUUUGAUGUUCUAACGUUGACCCGUAAUCCGGGUUGCGGACAGUGUCUGGUGGGUAGUUUGACUGGGGCGGUCUCCUCCUAAAGAGUAACGGAGGAGCACGAAGGUUGGCUAAUCCUGGUCGGACAUCAGGAGGUUAGUGCAAUGGCAUAAGCCAGCUUGACUGCGAGCGUGACGGCGCGAGCAGGUGCGAAAGCAGGUCAUAGUGAUCCGGUGGUUCUGAAUGGAAGGGCCAUCGCUCAACGGAUAAAAGGUACUCCGGGGAUAACAGGCUGAUACCGCCCAAGAGUUCAUAUCGACGGCGGUGUUUGGCACCUCGAUGUCGGCUCAUCACAUCCUGGGGCUGAAGUAGGUCCCAAGGGUAUGGCUGUUCGCCAUUUAAAGUGGUACGCGAGCUGGGUUUAGAACGUCGUGAGACAGUUCGGUCCCUAUCUGCCGUGGGCGCUGGAGAACUGAGGGGGGCUGCUCCUAGUACGAGAGGACCGGAGUGGACGCAUCACUGGUGUUCGGGUUGUCAUGCCAAUGGCACUGCCCGGUAGCUAAAUGCGGAAGAGAUAAGUGCUGAAAGCAUCUAAGCACGAAACUUGCCCCGAGAUGAGUUCUCCCUGACUCCUUGAGAGUCCUGAAGGAACGUUGAAGACGACGACGUUGAUAGGCCGGGUGUGUAAGCGCAGCGAUGCGUUGAGCUAACCGGUACUAAUGAACCGUGAGGCUUAACCUUACAACGCCGAAGGUGUUU